GUGCCAGCAGCCGCCGCGGUAAUACGGAGGGUGCAAGCGUUAAUCGGAAUUACUGGGCGUAAAGCGUGCGUAGGCGGUUAUUUAAGUCAGAUGUGAAAGCCCCGGGCUUAACCUGGGAACUGCAUUUGAUACUGGGUAACUAGAGUUUAGUAGAGGAGAGUGGAAUUUCAGGUGUAGCGGUGAAAUGCGUAGAGAUCUGAAGGAACACCAGUGGCGAAGGCGACUCUCUGGACUAAAACUGACGCUGAGGUACGAAAGCGUGGGUAGCAAACAGGAUUAGAUACCCUGGUAGUCCACGCCG
rnacentral:rRNA from 1 species